GACUACGAUGGUUCAGUGGUAGAACGUUUGCUUCAUAAUCUGAGGAUCCCGGGUUCAAAUCUCCGCGAGUCC
rnacentral:tRNA from 1 species